AACUCUGAGCGGUGGAUCACUCGGCUCGUGCGUCGAUGAAGAGCGCAGCCAACUGCGUGAAUGAAUUAGUGUGAAUUGCAGGAUAUCUUGAACAUCGACAUCUUGAACGCAUAUUGCGGCCUCAGGUCUCCCCUGUGGCCACGCCUGGCCGAGGGUCG
rnacentral:rRNA from 1 species